rnacentral:rRNA from 1 species
AUUGAACGCUGGCGGCAGGCCUAACACAUGCAAGUCGAACGAGUGGCGGACGGGUGAGUAAUGUCUGGGAAACUGCCCGAUGGAGGGGGAUAACUACUGGAAACGGUAGCUAAUACCGCAUACCAUCGGAUGUGCCCAGAUGGGAUUAGCUAGUAGGUGGGGUAACGGCUUACCUAGGCGACGAUCCCUAGCUGGUCUGAGAGGAUGAUCAGCCAAACUGGAACUGAGACACGGUCCAGACGCCUACGGGAGGCAGCAGUUGGGAAUAUUGCACAAUGGGCGCAAGACUGAUGCAGCCAUGCCGCGUGUAUGAAGAAGGCCUUAGGGUUGUAAAGUACUUUCAGCGAGGAGGCGUUACUCGCAGAAGAAGCACCGGCUAACUCCGUGCCAGCAGCCGCGGUAAUAC